CUGGACUGAGUGGCAAAACAUCUGAUAACAUGGCUGUGUACAGCAGUGGAAACAACGAAACCGGGAGUAAAACAUGCGAUUAUCUGCUCAAAUUAAAGGCAGGUGGACUCGACAGUUAUCCUUACAGCUUAACAAAGAACCAGUGGUCCAUGGACAUCGAGAUGUGGCCAGUAAUCGAGUUUCCUAACACAAUACACAAAAAACAAAGUCUGAAGGCGUAUAAAAGCCUUGACGCUUGCUCGUAACGUUACUUCAAGGCAGGAUUUAUCGGCGAAAUGAAAAUGACGAGGACACCUAUGGAUAUUUUGGUCGUCUGUGGACAGCGAUAUCUUUGCAGGUGAAACACAGCCGGAGAAUGAAUGAGCCCCCAUUGAAACCUUGGAUAGCUGCAGAGAAGACAGGGACCGUUUCGACAGCUCAUUGUACAUGUAUGGCAGGACUUCGAGAGACCUGUUCGCGUGCAGCAGCUUUGAUGUUUGCAGUUAUGUCCGGAGUCAGGAUGCGCGAUGACACACCGUGUACUUCAUUGCCAUGCCGGUGGCUUCAGCCAACACAAAGAAAAUAUCUUGCUCUGAACUGUCUUCUAUAGGUAUGACAUGUCCCAGAACAUAGAAAGGUUUUGAAUCCAUGACAUGAAUGUGAUUAUCGAAGCUACACGAAGGAAUUCUGUGUCCUAUGAUGCUAUACCUAAACCUACAGAAAAUGAACUUGCAGACUUUCUGGACAAGCUAAAGCAGCAAACCCAAGAGCAGCUGUGCUCUCUGUAGCUCCAAAACACUCGAAUUUGUCCCUGUGGCUCUGAAAGGUGUCUAUCCUACACCGUUAGGACAACUUUAUGAAGUUGAGAAUGCUGGUCUGACCUACAUUUAACUUCUUGAAAAAUGUGAUAAGGUCUUUGAGGAUUUGAAGAUCACAGACGCCCAGUGUCAGCUUGUUCAACAGGAGACAAAGGGACAGGCUUCAUCAAGGAUGUGGUAUACCUACAGAUAUGGCAGGAUAACCGCUUCCAAGUUUGGUGCGGUUAUAAAGAGCAGUGAUGAUAAGCUCUUUUCUUCCCAUAGUCAGCAAAGUUUACUACUGCAGCAACAAGGUGGGGCAUUCAGCAGGAUACCAAGGCUAAGGAGGAAUAUGUCAUCAAGACACGUCAAUUCUGAUGUAACCCCCACUGGGCUCUAUAUUUCCCAACAGUACACUCAUCUUGGUGCAUCACCUGAUGGGAAGGUGUCUUGUGACUGUUGUGGCUCUGGGUGCCUGGAAAUAAAACGCACUUACUUGGCAAAAGACAACACACCAGUUGUGGCUGGUGAUAAUUAUUUUGGGGGGGGGGGCGCUUUAAAUGUGUGUGUGUGCCGACACUUUGAAAUAAAAGACAGGGAAAGCAAAAAAGGGCAUUGCUAACAUCACAUCCAGCCAGCCACCUCCGUUUCUCAUAACAAGCGCGAGUGAAGCUUUGAGUUUAGCUUCUUCCUCUAUCACAGGCCUGCUGCUGGAUUUGUAAAUCGGGUUGGUCAGGUCGGAGAUCCUUUAUUCUUUUUUUUUAUUCCAGCGAACGCCUUGUGAAAGGGUUUUUUUGUAAAUCAAUGACAGAAUUUGGUUUAAAUGCUGCCAUUUAUCUAUACGAAAGUGAUCACUGAUUAGCCUAGCAAGGUUUUGGAAAAGUCGAAGUGACUGUGUCACCUGUGCACUCGCAGUACAGUAGUGGCCAAGAGCGUAAAGUUGAAUGACAGGUGAUGAGAACCAAUCAGAUUGGAUAAAAUAACAUGUAUCCAAUUCUGAUUCACCAGGGACACAGCGACCUGCGUCCAAAGGAGAAUCUUUAAGAAACCAAUUAGAGACCAGCUUCAAGCCACAUGCUGCCUGAAAAUUUAAGGACUCAGAUAGAUAUCCAUUUGUCCGGGGUACAACAGUAGACUACUUUGGGGGAACUACUGGACAUUUUGAAAAGCCUCAAGUUACUUACUCUUGCUUGUAUAAUGUUAUCUGGUAUGUUUCAACCUCACAUUUAAAGGAGCAGUUUGUGACACAUUUCAAACAAGGUAAACAUCUUUUACAUUACAGUUCUAAACAAAGGUUUUACAGUUUUCUUUUUCUAAUUAUCUGUUAGUCUUUACAUUGUUUAUGAAAUAUAGUUGUUUAGAAUGUUAAGCUUAAAAGGAGCUUUUUUCCCCAACUGGUUUUCAUGUCCAAGGUUGGAAAGUAAAUAGUCAAAACUGUUAGAGAAAAGUUUCAGCAUACCAAAAUAUAAUUUUAUUUGUCAGGCUUACUUUACAAACGUUUCAGUCACACAAUCUUCAUCAGAGCAUUACAGGUAUGUGUCAAAAUGUAAAAAUAUGCAGUCACUAAAAAAUGUGAAAAUACCAAACAUUAAUGUGGAAAUACUGUAUACAUUACAGAAUAAAUAUUUACAAAAUGUA